rnacentral:rRNA from 1 species
UACGUAGGGUGCAAGCGUUAAUCGGAUUUACUGGGCGUAAAGCGCGCGCAGGCGGUCUUCCAAGUCAGUGGUGAAAGCCCGGAGCUCAACUCCGGAACUGCCAUUGAAACUGUGAGACUUGAGGAUGAGAGAGGUGAGUGGAAUUCCCAGUGUAGAGGUGAAAUUCGUAGAUAUUGGGAAGAACACCGGUGGCGAAGGCGGCUCACUGGCUCAUUUCUGACGCUCAGGCGCGACAGCGUGGGGAUCAAACAGG